GACGAACGCUGGCGGCGUGCCUAACACAUGCAAGUCGAACGGAAAGGCCCUGCUCUUGCGGGGUGCUCGAGUGGCGAACGGGUGAGUAACACGCGAGUAACCUGCACUUGACUUUGGGAUAAAUCCAGGAAACUGGGGCUAAUAUCGGAUAGGAGCUAUUGAUGCACGGUGGGGGUUGGAAAGAUUCGGCGGUUGGGGCUGGACUCGCGGCUUAUCAGCUUGUUGGUGGGGUAGUGGCGUACGAAGGCUUUGACGGGUAGCCGGCCUGAGAGGGUGGCCGGGCACAUUAGGCCUAAGGGACGGCCCAGACGCCUACUGGAGGCAACAGUGGGGAAUAUUACGCAGUGGGGCGAAGCCUGAUGCAGCGGCGCCGCGUGCGUGAUGACGGCCUUCGAGUUGUGAACAGCUUUCGCCUGUGACGAAGCGGGAGUGACAGUAAUGAGUAAGGAAGCACCGGCUAACUACGUG
rnacentral:rRNA from 1 species